ACGGGAGGCAGCAGUGGGGAAUAUUGCACAAUGGGCGAAAGCCUGAUGCAGCGACGCCGCGUGAGUGAAGAAGUAUCUCGGUAUGUAAAGCUCUAUCAGCAGGGAAGAUAAUGACGGUACCUGACUAAGAAGCCCCGGCUAACUACGUGCCAGCAGCCGCGGUACUACGUAGGGGGCAAGCGUUAUCCGGAUUUACUGGGUGUAAAGGGAGCGUAGACGGCAAGGCAAGUCUGAUGUGAAAACCCGGGGCUCAACCUCGGGACUGCAUUGGAAACUGUCUAGCUAGAGUGCAGGAGAGGUAAGCGGAAUUCCUAGUGUAGCGGUGAAAUGCGUAGAUAUUAGGAGGAACACCAGUGGCGAAGGCGGCUUACUGGACUGUAACUGACGUUGAGGCUCGAAAGCGUGGGGAGCAAACAGGAUUAGAUACCCUGGUA
rnacentral:rRNA from 1 species